GGAGGAGUCGCAUAGUUGGUCCAUUGCGGGAGGUUGCUAACCUCCUGAGCCGUUAAUUCGGCUCGCGUGGGUUCGAAUCCCACCUCCUCCG
rnacentral:tRNA from 1 species